rnacentral:misc_RNA from 1 species
GAUGAAGAACGUAGCGAAAUGCGAUAAGUAGUGUGAAUUGCAGAAUUCAGUGAAUCAUCGAAUCUUUGAACGCACAUUGCGCCCUUUAGUAUUCCUUAGGGCAUGCCUGUUCGAGCGUCAUUUAAACCUUCAAGCUAAGCUUGGUGUUGGGUGACUGUCCGCUUCACGGCGGACUCGCCUCAAAAUUAUUGGCGGCCGGUACAUUGGCUUCGAGCGCAGCAGAAACGCGAACUCGGGCCCGUCGUAUUGGCUCCCAGAAGCUAUCUUCACAAUUUUGACCUCGGAUCAGGUAGGGAUACCCGCUGAACUUAAGCAUAUCAAUAAGCGGAGGA